GCCGAGGUGGCGGAAUGGCAGACGCAGCGGACUUAAAAUCCGCUGGAGAGUAUUUCUCCGUGCCGGUUCGAGUCCGGCCCUCGGCA
rnacentral:tRNA from 2 species